AAGUCCCGUAACGAGCGCAACCUUUGCCCUUAGUUACCAGCGGGUUAUGCCGGGGACUCUAAGGGGACUGCCGGUGUCAAACCGGAGGAAGGUGGAGAUGACGUCAAGUCCUCAUGGCCUUUAUGCCCAGGGCCACACACGUGCUACAAUGGCGUCCACAAAGCGAACCAAGAGCGCAAGCUGGUGGAAAUCGCAGAAAUGACGCCCCAGUUCAGAUCGGAGGCUGCAACUCGCCUCCGUGAAGUUGGAAUCGCUAGUAAUCGCGGAUCAGCUACGCCGCGGUGAAUGUGUUCCUGAGCCUUGUACACACCGCCCGU
rnacentral:rRNA from 1 species